rnacentral:ncRNA from 2 species
UGGCUCAUUAAAUCAGUUA